AUAAAGUUCCUUUGGGUAAGAAGUACUACUUGUCAUCAAAAUGGAUAAAAGGAGAUGUAUCUAGACGUACUUUAGUUCUAGAUACAUCCCUUUUUAUCCAUUUUGAUGCCAAGUAUUUUCGGACGGAGGGAGCUUAUA
rnacentral:pre_miRNA from 1 species